AUUGAACGCUGGCGGCAUGCCUAACACAUGCAAGUCGAGCGGAUGAAGGGAGCUUGCUCCUGGAUUCAGCGGCGGACGGGUGAGUAAUGCCUAGGAAUCUGCCUGGUAUUGGGGGAUAACGUCCGGAAACGGGCGCUAAUACCGCAUACGUCCUGAGGGAGAAAGUGGGGGAUCUUCGGACCUCACGCUAUCAGAUGAGCCUAGGUCGGAUUAGCUAGUUGGUGGGGUAAAGGCCUACCAAGGCGACGAUCCGUAACUGGUCUGAGAGGAUGAUCAGUCACACUGGAACUGAGACACGGUCCAGACUCCUACGGGAGGCAGCAGUGGGGAAUAUUGGACAAUGGGCGAAAGCCUGAUCCAGCCAUGCCGCGUGUGUGAAGAAGGUCUUCGGAUUGUAAAGCACUUUAAGUUGGGAGGAAGGGAAGUAAGUUAAUCCCUUGCUGUUUUGACGUUACCAACAGAAUAAGCACCGGCUAACUUCGUG
rnacentral:rRNA from 1 species